rnacentral:tRNA from 1 species
GCAUUUGUGGUUCAGUGGUAAAAUUUUUGCCUUCCAUGCAAGAGACCUAGAUUUGAUUCCUAGCCAAUAUA